AAGUCUGAUGGAGCAACGCCGCGUGAGUGAAGAAGGUUUUCGGAUCGUAAAGCUCUGUUGUUGGUGAAGAAGGAUAGAGGUAGUAACUGGCCUUUAUUUGACGGUAAUCAACCAGAAAGUCACGGCUAACUACGUGCCAGCAGCCGCGGUAAUACGUAGGUGGCAAGCGUUGUCCGGAUUUAUUGGGCGUAAAGCGAGCGCAGGCGGAAAAAUAAGUCUAAUGUGAAAGCCCUCGGCUUAACCGAGGAAUUGCAUCGGAAACUGUUUUUCUUGAGUGCAGAAGAGGAGAGUGGAACUCCAUGUGUAGCGGUGGAAUGCGUAGAUAUAUGGAAGAACACCAGUGGCGAAGGCGGCUCUCUGGUCUGCAACUGACGCUGAGGCUCGAAAGCAUGGGUAGCGGACAGGAUUAGAUACCCUGGUAGUCCAUGCCGUAAACGAUGAGUGCUAAGUGUUGGGAGGUUUCCGCCUCUCAGUGCUGCAGCUAACGCAUUAAGCACUCCGCCUGGGGAGUACGACCGCAAGGUUGAAACUCAAAGGAAUUGACGGGGGCCCGCACAAGCGGUGGAGCAUGUGGUUUAAUUCGAAGCAACGCGAAGAACCUUACCAGGUCUUGAC
rnacentral:rRNA from 1 species